rnacentral:rRNA from 1 species
GAGUUUGAUCGUGGCUCAGAUUGAACGCUGGCGGCAGGCCUAACACAUGCAAGUCGAGCGGUAGAGAGAAGCUUGCUUCUCUUGAGAGCGGCGGACGGGUGAGUAAUGCCUAGGAAUCUGCCUGGUAGUGGGGGAUAACGCUCGGAAACGGACGCUAAUACCGCAUACGUCCUACGGGAGAAAGCAGGGGACCUUCGGGCCUUGUGCUAUCAGAUGAGCCUAGGUCGGAUUAGCUAGUUGGUGAGGUAAUGGCUCACCAAGGCGACGAUCCGUAACUGGUCUGAGAGGAUGAUCAGUCACACUGGAACUGAGACACGGUCCAGACUCCUACGGGAGGCAGCAGUGGGGAAUAUUGGACAAUGGGCGAAAGCCUGAUCCAGCCAUGCCGCGUGUGUGAAGAAGGUCUUCGGAUUGUAAAGCACUUUAAGUUGGGAGGAAGGGCAGUAAAUUAAUACUUUGCUGUUUUGACGUUACCGACAGAAUAAGCACCGGCUAACUCUGUGCCAGCCGCC